UAGGGAAUAUUGGUAAUGUGCGAAAGCGCGAACCAGCAACGCCGCGUGCACGAUGAAGGCCUUAGGGUCGUAAAGUGCUUUUAGAGAGGAUGAGGAAGGACAGUACUUUCUGAAUAAGCCUCGGCUAACUACGUGCCAGCAGCCGCGGUAAAACGUAGGAGGCAAGCGUUAUCCGGAUUUACUGGGCGUAAAGCGCAUGCAGGUGGUUUUGUAAGUUGGAUGUGAAAGCUCCUGGCUUAACUGGGAGAGGUCGUUCAAAACUACAAGACUUGAGAUUGGUAGAGGAAAAUGGAAUUCCGGGUGUAGUGGUGAAAUGCGUAGAUAUCCGGAGGAACACCAGUGGCGAAAGCGGUUUUCUGGACCAAUUCUGACACUCAGAUGCGAAAGCUAAGGUAGCAAACG
rnacentral:rRNA from 1 species